rnacentral:rRNA from 1 species
AUUGAACGCUGGCGGCAGGCCUAACACAUGCAAGUCGAGCGGAUGAUGGGGGCUUGCUCCCGGAUUCAGCGGCGGACGGGUGAGUAAUGCCUAGGAAUCUGCCUGGUAGUGGGGGACAGCGUUUCGAAAGGAACGCUAAUACCGCAUACGUCCUACGGGAGAAAGCAGGGGACCUUCGGGCCUUGCGCUAUCAGAUGAGCCUAGGUCGGAUUAGCUAGUGGGUGGGGUAAAGGCCUACCAAGGCGACGAUCCGUAACUGGUCUGAGAGGAUGAUCAGUCACACUGGAACUGGGACACGGUCCAGACUCCUACGGGAGGCAGCAGUGGGGAAUAUUGGACAAUGGGCGAAAGCCUGAUCCAGCCAUGCCGCGUGUGUGAGGAAGGUCUUCGGAUUGUAAAGCACUUUAAGUUGGGAGGAAGGGCAGUAAGUUAAUACCUUGCUGUUUUGACGUUACCAACAGAAUAAGCACCGGCUAACUUCGUGCCAGCCGCCGCCGUAAGAC